UAAAGACUAGUUUAAUUAAAAUUUUGGUCUGUGGAACCUUAGAUAAUCUAUAAGAUUGUUUUUAC
rnacentral:tRNA from 1 species